rnacentral:tRNA from 1 species
GGCAAGCUGGCCUAGUGGUUAGGGCACCAGGCUAGCAACCAGGACACCUGGCUUCAAGUCCUGGCUCUGUCA